rnacentral:rRNA from 1 species
GUACACUCCUGCGGGAGGCAGCAGUGGGGAAUAUUGGACAAUGGGCGCAAGCCUGAUCCAGCCAUGCCGCGUGAGUGAUGAAGGCCCUAGGGUUGUAAAGCUCUUUCACCGGUGAAGAUAAUGACGGUAACCUGAGAAGAAGCCCCGGCUAACUUCGUGCCAGCAGCCGCGGUAAUACGAAGGGGGCUAGCGUUGUUCGGAUUUACUGGGCGUAAAGCGCACGUAGGCGGACUAUUAAGUCAGGGGUGAAAUCCCGGGGCUCAACCCCGGAACUGCCUUUGAUACUGGUAGUCUUGAGUUCGAGAGAGGUGAGUGGAAUUCCGAGUGUAGAGGUGAAAUUCGUAGAUAUUCGGAGGAACACCAGUGGCGAAGGCGGCUCACUGGCUCGAUACUGACGCUGAGGUGCGAAAGCGUGGGGAGCAAACAGGAUUAGAAACCCUGGUAGUCCCA